GACGAACGCUGGCGGCGUGCUUAACACAUGCAAGUCGAACGGAAAGGCCCUGCUUUUGUGGGGUGCUCGAGUGGCGAACGGGUGAGUAACACGUGAGUAACCUGCCCUUGACUUUGGGAUAACUUCAGGAAACUGGGGCUAAUACCGGAUAGGAGCUCCUGCUGCAUGGUGGGGGUUGGAAAGUUUAGGCGGUUGGGGACGGACGCGCGGCUUAUCAGCUUGUUGGUGGGGUAGUGGCUGACCAAGGCUUUGACGGGUAGCCGGCCUGAGAGGGUGACCGGCGACAUUGGGGCGGAGGAGCGGCCGAGACUACUACGGGAGGCAGCAGUGGGGAAUAUUGCAGAAUGGGCGGAAGACUGAUGCAGCAACGACGCGUGCGGGAUGACGGCCUUCGGGUUGUAAACCGCUUUCGCCUGUGACGAAGAGUGAGUGACGGUAAUGGGUAAAGAAGCACCGGCUAACUACGUG
rnacentral:rRNA from 1 species